UCGAGAAUUUUUCUCAAUGGGGGAAACCCUGAAGGAGCGACGCCGCGUGGGGGAUGAAUGGCUUCGGCCCGUAAACCCCUGUCAUUUGCGAUCAAACCUUACGACCUAACACGUCGUAAGCUGAUAGUAGCGGAAGAGGAAGGGACGGCUAACUCUGUGCCAGCAGCCGCGGUAAUACAGAGGUCCCAAGCGUUGUUCGGAUUCACUGGGCUAAAGGGUGCGUAGGCGGUCGGGUAAGUCUAACGUGAAAUCUUCAAGCUCAACUUGGAAACUGCGUCGGAUACUAUUCGGCUAGAGGAAUGGAGGGGAGACUGGAAUACUUGGUGUAGCAGUGAAAUGCGUAGAUAUCAAGUGGAACACCAGUGGCGAAGGCGAGUCUCUGGACAUUUCCUGACGCUGAGGCACGAAAGCCAGGGGAGCAAACGGGAUUAGAUACCCCGGUAGUCCUGGCCCUAAACGGUGCACGUUUGCUGUAAGAGGAAUCGACCCCUUUUGUGGCGAAGCUAACGCGUUAAACGUC
rnacentral:rRNA from 1 species